CCUAGCCUUUCCGGUGGAUCACUAGGCUCGUGGAUCGAUGAAAAACGCAGCAAACUGCGAUAAGUUUUGCGAACUGCAGCAGCCUUGAGCAUAAAAGUUUUGAACGCAUAUUGCCGCAUAGGGGUCAAACCCUUUGCUAUGUCUGGUUCAGGGUCAU
rnacentral:rRNA from 1 species